GGUUAAGCGACUAAGCGUACACGGUGGAUGCCCUGGCAGUCAGAGGCGAUGAAGGACGUGCUAAUCUGCGAUAAGCGUCGGUAAGGUGAUAUGAACCGUUAUAACCGGCGAUUUCCGAAUGGGGAAACCCAGUGUGUUUCGACACACUAUCAUUAACUGAAUCCAUAGGUUAAUGAGGCGAACCGGGGAACUGAAACAUCUAAGUACCCCGAGGAAAAGAAAUCAACCGAGAUUCCCCCAGUAGCGGCGAGCGAACGGGGAGCAGCCCAGAGCCUGAAUCAGUGUGUGUGUUAGUGGAAGCGUCUGGAAAGGCGCGCGAUACAGGGUGACAGCCCCGUACACAAAAAUGCACAUACUGUGAGCUCGAUGAGUAGGGCGGGACACGUGGUAUCCUGUCUGAAUAUGGGGGACCAUCCUCCAAGGCUAAAUACUCCUGACUGACCGAUAGUGAACCAGUACCGUGAGGGAAAGGCGAAAAGAACCCCGGCGAGGGGAGUGAAAAAGAACCUGAAACCGUGUACGUACAAGCAGUGGGAGCCUCUUUAUGGGGUGACUGCGUACCUUUUGUAUAAUGGGUCAGCGACUUAUAUUCUGUAGCAAGGUUAACCGAAUAGGGGAGCCGAAGGGAAACCGAGUCUUAACUGGGCGUUAAGUUGCAGGGUAUAGACCCGAAACCCGGUGAUCUAGCCAUGGGCAGGUUGAAGGUUGGGUAACACUAACUGGAGGACCGAACCGACUAAUGUUGAAAAAUUAGCGGAUGACUUGUGGCUGGGGGUGAAAGGCCAAUCAAACCGGGAGAUAGCUGGUUCUCCCGAAAGCUAUUUAGGUAGCGCCUCGUGAAUUCAUCUCCGGGGUAGAGCACUGUUUCGGCAAGGGGGUCAUCCCGACUUACCAACCCGAUGCAAACUGCGAAUACCGGAGAAUGUUAUCACGGGAGACACACGGCGGGUGCUAACGUCCGUCGUGAAGAGGGAAACAACCCAGACCGCCAGCUAAGGUCCCAAAGUCAUGGUUAAGUGGGAAACGAUGUGGGAAGGCCCAGACAGCCAGGAUGUUGGCUUAGAAGCAGCCAUCAUUUAAAGAAAGCGUAAUAGCUCACUGGUCGAGUCGGCCUGCGCGGAAGAUGUAACGGGGCUAAACCAUGCACCGAAGCUGCGGCAGCGACACUAUGUGUUGUUGGGUAGGGGAGCGUUCUGUAAGCCUGUGAAGGUGUACUGUGAGGUAUGCUGGAGGUAUCAGAAGUGCGAAUGCUGACAUAAGUAACGAUAAAGCGGGUGAAAAGCCCGCUCGCCGGAAGACCAAGGGUUCCUGUCCAACGUUAAUCGGGGCAGGGUGAGUCGACCCCUAAGGCGAGGCCGAAAGGCGUAGUCGAUGGGAAACAGGUUAAUAUUCCUGUACUUGGUGUUACUGCGAAGGGGGACGGAGAAGGCUAUGUUGGCCGGGCGACGGUUGUCCCGGUUUAAGCGUGUAGGCUGGUUUUCCAGGCAAAUCCGGAAAAUCAAGGCUGAGGCGUGAUGACGAGGCACUACGGUGCUGAAGCAACAAAUGCCCUGCUUCCAGGAAAAGCCUCUAAGCAUCAGGUAACAUCAAAUCGUACCCCAAACCGACACAGGUGGUCAGGUAGAGAAUACCAAGGCGCUUGAGAGAACUCGGGUGAAGGAACUAGGCAAAAUGGUGCCGUAACUUCGGGAGAAGGCACGCUGAUAUGUAGGUGAAGCGACUUGCUCGUGGAGCUGAAAUCAGUCGAAGAUACCAGCUGGCUGCAACUGUUUAUUAAAAACACAGCACUGUGCAAACACGAAAGUGGACGUAUACGGUGUGACGCCUGCCCGGUGCCGGAAGGUUAAUUGAUGGGGUUAGCGCAAGCGAAGCUCUUGAUCGAAGCCCCGGUAAACGGCGGCCGUAACUAUAACGGUCCUAAGGUAGCGAAAUUCCUUGUCGGGUAAGUUCCGACCUGCACGAAUGGCGUAAUGAUGGCCAGGCUGUCUCCACCCGAGACUCAGUGAAAUUGAACUCGCUGUGAAGAUGCAGUGUACCCGCGGCAAGACGGAAAGACCCCGUGAACCUUUACUAUAGCUUGACACUGAACAUUGAGCCUUGAUGUGUAGGAUAGGUGGGAGGCUUUGAAGUGUGGACGCCAGUCUGCAUGGAGCCGACCUUGAAAUACCACCCUUUAAUGUUUGAUGUUCUAACGUUGACCCGUGAUCCGGGUUGCGGACAGUGUCUGGUGGGUAGUUUGACUGGGGCGGUCUCCUCCUAAAGAGUAACGGAGGAGCACGAAGGUUGGCUAAUCCUGGUCGGACAUCAGGAGGUUAGUGCAAUGGCAUAAGCCAGCUUGACUGCGAGCGUGACGGCGCGAGCAGGUGCGAAAGCAGGUCAUAGUGAUCCGGUGGUUCUGAAUGGAAGGGCCAUCGCUCAACGGAUAAAAGGUACUCCGGGGAUAACAGGCUGAUACCGCCCAAGAGUUCAUAUCGACGGCGGUGUUUGGCACCUCGAUGUCGGCUCAUCACAUCCUGGGGCUGAAGUAGGUCCCAAGGGUAUGGCUGUUCGCCAUUUAAAGUGGUACGCGAGCUGGGUUUAGAACGUCGUGAGACAGUUCGGUCCCUAUCUGCCGUGGGCGCUGGAGAACUGAGGGGGCUGCUCCUAGUACGAGAGGACCGGAGUGGACGCAUCACUGGUGUUCGGGUUGUCAUGCCAAUGGCACUGCCCGGUAGCUAAAUGCGGAAGAGAUAAGUGCUGAAAGCAUCUAAGCACGAAACUUGCCCCGAGAUGAGUUCUCCCUGACCCUUUAAGGGUCCUGAAGGAACGUUGAAGACGACGACGUUGAUAGGCCGGGUGUGUAAGCGCAGCGAUGCGUUGAGCUAACCGGUACUAAUGAACCGUGAGGCUUAACCUU
rnacentral:rRNA from 1 species